GGGGAGGUGGCUGAGCGGUUGAAGGCGCCUGUCUUGAAAACAGGAGUGGGUUUCUCGCCCACCGCGGGUUCGAAUCCCGCUCUCCCCG
rnacentral:tRNA from 1 species